GAGGCGCGCGCACCGGGUGGAGCGCCAGGGAGGGCUUCGCCGCCGUCUCCCUCCCUCCGCGGCUUGACCCGGUAGUGAAGGCGGAGAGAGAGAGGCAGGCCCCGGGCCGCCCCGCAGCCUGCGGGAGGAGGCGGGAGCCGGGAAGGAGGGGAGCCGAGGCCCCGCGUGGGGAGGCCGGCGAGAAGGGCCCGGAGCCCAGGCUGGACCUGCCUGCCUUCAGCUUCCCUGUGAGCCCGGCUGCUCGCCCUCAGGACACCUCGACUGGUUCACACCCCAGAACGGAUGAAGCAGAAAUCCAGGGACCCGAUGGCAAGCCCGGCGCCUGGUGGCCCAUCUGCGGCGGCGCCUGCCUGCUGGGGCUCCAUCCCGCCACCGGAAAGCUGGAGUUCCAGGUUCUAGCAUGGGACUGCAGAGGGCCUGGCAGCCAGAGCUCGACUUCCCUGUUGUCUCGCUUCACUUUUACAGUCUUACAUUCCUAGCAAAGUUCUCAGAAGUCCCCCUCCGAGGAGGGAAAGUUAGAGGAAGGAAUCUGGUUGUCCUGGCAGCAGGAAGAAGGUGAAGCAGCGGCUGCAGACCAAGGCCACGAGUCCCCUGGGAAAGAAACUGAAGAGGGUGGAGCGGGGCAGGAUAAACAGCAACUGCCCAGGCUGAAAAGUGGCCAGGGUCGAUGAGGGGAGCGGUUGAAAAGAUGACUGGAGUGAGAACCGAGCCGUAGAAAUGGGAGGUUUAACCUGGACAGGAGUCAAGCUUGUACCUGGGGACUAAGCCUUAAUAUAAUCUUCGGACAAGCACCCCCCACUACAGAAAAGGCAAGAGAGCUCUUGGUGGGACAUGAACUCAGCUCACUGUACCCCAUCUAUCUCCUUUCCUUUCUCCAAAUUUACAGCCAGGGAGAAAUCUAAACAAGGCACAGAGCACAAGAGCUGCUGACUUCCCCUGUGAAACCUUGAGUGAUCUUCUUAAGUUCCUGUAGCUUAAAUUCCAUUUGCUUAACUUUGAAAUAAUAUGUUUCAGACAAAGAAAAAAAAUACAGUCAUUCACCCACUCAUCUUUGUAAAUCAGAGCAUGGAAAUCAGCAGCAGUUAAGAUGUCUGGGAUGGAGUGUGGGAGGAAAGCCGUACAGCUUAAAAGGCUUAGACGACCCAAACAGAAACGCGGGGCUUGGAAUCCAGGCUCUGCUGCUUCUCAGGAGUGCAGUAUUUAGCUAACUGUUCGACCUUUCUCGGUUUGCUUCUUUUUAAAUAUGAUUAACAAUCUUAAUUGGGGCAUGAUGCAGUGAGGAGAAAAUCAGGAGAAGCAUGUGCAGCGCUUGCCUGGCUCAGCUUGCUGGACUGUGAAUAGCCAUUUCCUGACUCUUUCCUUCACUCACUUUUUUUUUUUUCCUGGUGGAGAGGACAGCAGAUUGCAUCAGAAUUGAAGAUCUUUAAAAAGGAUAAAUCUGAUUAAUGUGGUGUCUUUUUCCACUUGAGAAAGUGCAUCUCCAGUCUUCUCACUAUCUGCCUUCAGUUACCUUUUUAAGCUUAAAAAAGGCACAGCAGAGAAGCAAACAGCAGUGCCGCUGAUGGGGACAGUGGUAGUGUCUUCCUUUUGGAUGAAAGCAUCAACCACCAGAGUGAAGCUGCUGACUCCAUGUAGAACCAUUUGGCUACCAUUGUAGACAACUUACUUAUUCAUAAGAGAUAAGGAGUUUUGUUCAAUAGCAUAGUAGGCUCUUCUUUUAAAAGCAACAUAAAUUAUAAUUGGAAAUGGACCAAAAUACAAGACAUUUAAUGGAACACACACACGUGAUCUGGAGCAAUCUUAAUUGGACUUGAUCUCAUGAAAAAAUUGUCUGAAAGGCAGCUGAAUUCCAACUGAAAAAUCUCCAGAGAGAGAAUUCUGAUCCUGAAGAAACUGCUGUUGGAGAAAUAUAAGCAAGGAGUGGAGCCAAGGUUUGCCUGAGGAGCCCUGCAGAGAAUGGAAAUUCUACAAAGGAUAGAUGGUCAGUUUUGAGUCCCACUGAAUGAGGCCGCACUAAUAGAUGGAAGUGGGCACACAAGCCCCAGGACCCCAAAUCCUUCAGGUGCUCUCCGUCUUCUUCCACCAUCCUGGAGCCUGGUGCAGUCCAAAACAAGCUCCCAGUGGAGACUCAAGAAGGGACUCAUCUUGAUGUUAUGCAAGCAUGAAGACAAAGUCUAGAAAAAGGAAGAAGCAUAAGAGGGACCCAGAUUCUCUCCCUCCACUCUUCAUGUUUUGAAGAUAAUUAUUAUAAAGUUAAUUUGCAGAGAUGGACUUCUUUUUCCUGACUAUAAAUGCAUCACAGUUCAAUCCAUGCCCGUUAAACCCCUAAGCAGUCCAUUUAAGUGAAUUUGAAGGACUCAUAGAAACCUAAUGCUGCCCAUAAAAUUGCAGAAAAAAAAAUUUAGAGUGCUUUUUUGUUGUUGUGGUAGAGUUGACCAUUUUUAAUUUCCAGACUUUGGAGUAGAUAUAAAUGCUUCAACUCCCAUCACUUUCUCAUAUACAAAUGUAUAAAUACUCCAUUAAUAUGGUAUAGUGACUCAUUUAUUUUAAACAACAUGAUGAGAGAUUAGAUUUUUGUGUGACUCUUUUCUAGACGACAAAAUAUCCCAGUGAAGACAGAUUUUAUAGAGCCAAGCCUUGUCUGUCUAUCCUCUUCCAGAUUAUUAAGAGCCAUUAUUGUCCAGGAGAAGCAAUAUAACUGUUCCACCAAUGAGUAACUUAUGUCCCUAGAUUGCAUUCUUUAUUCAGGGCCAUUGCUGAUGCACAUUUUUUUUCUGUUGAAAAUGGUCACUUUAAACAUCACAAAUCUAUGCCCAGAAUACUCUUCCUCAGCCAUCCUUUAAAUUGAAAGAUAAAAAGUCAGUGAUUCAAAGCAGUUCUCAAAAAGAAGGGAAAACUGUUUCUAAAGACUAUUAAUUGUAAGAGGGCUUUGCAUACUCACCUCUCAGGUGUGAGCAGCAGCUUCCCAUAUCUAGUACAGACAUCAUGUUUUGAUGGCCAAAAUUUGAAUAGCCAUUAUUUCCUGAGAUGAAUUUACUUUUAAUGGCAGUUAGGAACAUUGCCUUCUUAGGUUUUAUUAUUUUCUCUAUACUCGCUGUCACCAGACACUGGGAUAAUUUAGCAUCCCAUUAAACAAUAUGAACAGAGGGUUUGGGAAAAUUAGUGCAUGAAAACAUACAAUGUGGUGUCAACUGUAGGCAAUGUUGAUCAUUUGUGUUUAUUUGGAUUCAUCUGUCCAUGUACAUUUGGCCUAUGAAGCCAACGGUUGCUCUGUAGAGGCUCUACUCAUAUUGCUGCUGUCACAGUUCACGGUUAUCUUGCCUCGUGUCCAUUCUAUCUCUUUCCACCUUUGUAAGGAUUUCAUGUUGAUGGUGGAGCAUGACCUCUCACACUAUCGUCAUGGUUCUCUUUAUCAUGUGCAACCAUGAUACACAGGGCAAUUAAUUUUCAGUGCACUGAAGUGUUGGUUAAGGGGAGACAGGGCAAUUAGUCUGAUUUUCUCAGUUUCUUUAAUAUGAUGAUAAAUGGAUGGAAAGUACACACACAUACAAACACACACACACACACACACACACACACACACACACACACACACACCAAGUCAAUAAGUAUUGGCCAAUAUUACAGCAAUCCUAUAAUGGCUUGUUUCCUCUUUUCCUCCCUAGUUUCCUGACACCUAAAUGAAUAGGAGUUAACCAACUAAUUAAACAGUGCUACAGAAGUCUUUGCCCUCAGGAUUCUUCUCUGAAGACUCUGAAGGUAUCCCCAUUACUUUCUUUACCCACCACCACCCAUGCUCAACCACUCCUUCCUCCCAAUGCUACCCCUCCUACAUUGAUGUCUUUGUGUGUGUAUACAGCUCUUGUGCAGAUAGCCACAGCUACUGUACAAUUACAUAAUUAUAUCACCCAUGCCACAGCCGAAAGUCAGCACAUAUAGUACUCCUUCCCAUCACUUAGCUCUUACAGUCUUUCUACACCCUUUGCCCUGGUGGUCUCUGGGCCUCGAAGGUGAAGAUAGUGAUAACAUACUUAGGAUCUAACACCAAAUAAUAACUUAUUUUUGAUGUUUUGACUAUUUUGACUGUCUCUAUUAGCCUUUACCCAUUUAAAAAGAAGCUUCUCUGGCCAAGGUUGAGAGCAAUCUAAAGACAUGAACAUUUUCAGAAGGUAGUUUGGCAAUGUGUCCUUUUUCAUAAAAUCAUUAGUAGUACCCCCUUAGGGCCUGUGACUUCCUCUGCUAUAGAUUUUUUUUUUUUGCCAGAUUUCCAGUACCGGGUAUUUAUUCCUUCCAAUGAAGGUCUCAAAUCCAAUUAGAAAAUAUUUAGCUACUGUCAAAACAAUCAGGCACUAUGGGCCCCAUGGCCAGAGCUUGCCUAAGGGUAAAGCUCUGAAGGGUAAAGACAGAAUUUAUUUGAAACCACCAUGCCGUUGCUUAUCUUAGCCACAAAAUAAUAACACUGAUGUAAUCUAAGGCAAGUGUGUCUCAAUAUAACUCUUCUCUUAAUUUUCCAAAUACCUCCUUUCAUUGUCUGUAGUCAAUGGCAGGAGUCAUGUCUCAGAACAUCCUGAUGAUGGUUGUGUAAUUUGAUUCUAUAAGGAAAUAACCCAUGCACCAUAGGAAUUUACAGACCUGGCUAAUAGCUAACAAUGGAACUCAAGAAGAAAAUGAGAAUAAAAGUGCUUAAAGGUCAAAAUACAGAGGUGAAAUAUAAGAUGAAUAUGAGAAAACUGACUGACUGGGGGAACUCAUUUGUGCCUCAUUAUUAGAUGAUCUGGAAAUGACACUAAAUUCUUUCUCUCAUCCUGCUUUGUUGAGGUAAGUCCUUAGAGCUGGAAUAUAACAAAUUCAAUGAAAAAUCUCUGACUCCUCAAAAUGGUAUCAAGAAAGAAGUCAAGAGUAUCAGAAAGAUUGUAAUGUCAAAAUGAACUUAAUGUGUAAGAUUUAAGCACUCACAACCUGAUACAGACAUGUAAUAGAAAACCGAAACCAACAAGCUAAACAACAACUAAUAAAAGAAAGAAAAAGAGAGAGACUAACAAGGCAAGGGGAAAGGCAAGAAGGAAAGGAAGGCAGCAGAGGAGCCACAUGUGUGCUCUAGGAGGAACUGAGGAGUAGUCCACUGAUUUAAGAAGCUUGGGUCACUCUGGGUGUGCCUUAUGGGCUGCGGGUGAUGAUAAAGUUAUUCCUAUCAAGUUAGGCUUCUUACUAUCAAUAGAUGAUGGUAUAGUUGAAAGCAGAUGAAGCCAAGACAAUGACACAAAGCAAGCAAUUAUAGACUUGGUAUCAAGUUGUCUUGACCUUCAAGAAUCUCUGACUAUAGCUAGUAGGACCUGCUAUUCUCAGACAUGGGGUAGAUGUGAAUCUGACCAAGAAGAGGAAAGAGAGAAAGAUGAGAAGCACAGAAAUGUGUUACAAACUGCACAUAUAAGAAAAUAUAAUUCUCAAUUCAAUCUCCACACAUCACAUCUCAAAAUCCAUAUCAUUGUCACCUUGACAAAUGUCACAUGAAGUAUAUCCCCCUGAUUGUUUUUCACAAAGACCUGAGUAACUAAACACUGGAGAAUGAAAAAACACAGACAUUUCUAGGACAGUUUAGAUGAAACAUACUAGUGUCAUGGGAUUCCAAACAUCAUCAUGGCUCUCUAGUUAAAAGAGAGGAUAGGUACAGUGUGGCCCAAGUCCAUCUCACAUUACAUCCAAGUGUAUUAAUAAUCUGCCUGUGGUUAUUUUUUGGUUCCCAUGUGAAUGAUUGAAAAAGAAAUAGUUAUCAGCAGGGAGAACCCACAUGUUAUGUAUGGACCGAGGAAUAAAAGCCAUUAAGGAAUCAAGAGCCAAGUGGAAGAUGCAGAAAUCACACUCCUGACUUGAGGAAAUUAUAAAUCAGACACAAGUCUGUAUCAUAAAAUAUGAUAAUUAGUGCCAUUAGUAGCAUCAAAUAUUCAAAGGAUGUAGAGUUGUUGGUCAACAUUACAUUCCCAUUCAAUUCACUAAGUUUGACUCUGUAAAAUGUAUUAUAUUAUAUAGCCAAUUAUAGUACAUUAGUGUGAAUUUGUUGAAGAGGCAGUUCUAGCCACAGAUUCACAGCUACUGUCUGUUACCAUCUGCUACAAAAGCUGUUAUUGGGGUAAUCACUUUGUUAAAUACCAGUGGAUUAGUAGACGUUGGCCUUUCCUAUGGGAGUACUGACCUUGCAGGUACUCUCUUUACCUAAUUCUUAUCAAUAACGAGGGCUUAGUUUAGCUUUAUUCAUAAGAUGGAAUCUGAAGUACUCAUGACUCUUCAAGGAUGUGCUAACGGAACUGUUCUUUGUUGUGGCAGAGGGUAUAAACAAGCUGAUCAUUAUGACAAUCCAUAGACUAUAAAAGUACACCAGUAGUCAUGUUAGUUGACUAUAUGAACAGGAAAUGGGAAUUAUAGUAAAUAUUUUAGUGCAACAAGUAUCAGAAGUUUGGUGAUAAACCUCAUCACUUCAAGAGCAUCCAGACCUUUGGAAUGCCAAGCCUCAGGUGUUCAACCCUUUGAAUUUUGAGAUUCAGUAUAACUAAUGAAUAUAGGGAGUGCUGUAGUGAAAAAGUUACUGUGAGUCUCCAAGAAGUUCCUUGGGUUUCUGAGGAAGAGAUUAAAUCUCUGUAAAAGAAAAGUCUCAUUUGAACAAACAGUUCUGCCAUGACAUGUAGUCCUGCACGCUGGUGACUGACCAUAGCAUGCUAAGUGGCUGUGCCUCUGCAUUUCCUUCCUGUGUUGUGUUUUCAGAGCCAUUGUUCCAUACUUAAAUCAUGAGCUGUUUCAUCCCACAGCUGCCACACCAGGGAGAAGAAACAAAAGACUCACAUAUUGAGAAGGAAAGUUCUGAGCCUCUAUUGCUUAAGCAAGCCAUUCAGACCAUCUCAAGAUCAUCACUUAUCCGUUUAAAAACCUACCCUUCAACAAAUGCUGAGUCUCUCUCUCUCUCCCCCCAUCUCUCUCUCCCUAUCUCUCAUGCUCUAAUAUACAAAACUGAGUUGAAUAUUUGGCAUGUAUUUUCAGUAUAUAUUUUUCAAUAUAUAAUAUUUCAAUACAUAAUAUGUUUAAAUUUCCUUUUCUUUCUAUAAAAUUAUUUUUCCUUGCAUGCUCAUCUAAUUCCCAUUUACACACACACACACACACACACACACACACACACACACACACACACACACACACAUAUGGAGCUACACUCUGAUAUUUACUGUAUGUGCUUUCCUUUGACUGUUAAUAAUUUCUC